UGCCGAUGCUUGUUCUCCCAAAUACCCAAAUAGCUUUCUUUGCUCUCUAGAACAAAUCUCCUCAAUUCGGUGGAUUGAAGCACGAGUGGGAUCUGCUCUUAAGAAUUUCCUUUCACGGAAGAGACAGAGUUCGGGGACGAUUGUGGAUUCUGAUUUGCCGACACAGGUACGACCACAAUGCUGCACAUGCUGUUUUUGUAGUUAUUUCGGUGUUGCUUUUCCAUUUUUUAAUAACUGGAGUAGUUCUUGCUACAUGUUCUUGGUAAGAGCUACCGCCCUACUCAUAAUUAUAAU